AACGAACGCUGGCGGCAUGCCUAACACAUGCAAGUCGAACGAGACCUUCGGGUCUAGUGGCGCACGGGUGCGUAACGCGUGGGAACCUGCCCUUAGGUUCGGAAUAACUCCCCGAAAGGGGUGCUAAUACCGGAUAAUGUCUUCGGACCAAAGAUUUAUCGCCUUUGGAUGGGCCCGCGUUGGAUUAGCUAGUUGGUAGGGUAAAAGCCUACCAAGGCGACGAUCCAUAGCUGGUCUGAGAGGAAGAUCAGCCACACUGGGACUGAGACGCGGCCCGGACUCUUACGGAAGGGAGGAGAGGGGAAUGGUGGAAAAGGGGGGAAAGCAUGAACAGCCUAGGACGGGUGAAUGAUGAAGUCAGUAGAGAAGUAAAGCUCAUUUAACUGGGAUGAUAAUGACAGUACCGGGAGAAUAAGCCACGGCUAACUACGUG
rnacentral:rRNA from 1 species